rnacentral:sRNA from 1 species
UUUGCACUCAUCGGGGAAGGGUGAGAACCUUCGACUAAGGUUCGACUCGAGCGAAAGCGAGAGAACGUUUUCGCAGGCAACGGCCCGAAGGGUGAGGAGCGAAGCGACGAAUAAUCCUUUCCCCACCGCCA